UGGUAACAUGUACUCCUUACCGUCACAAAAUCCUGUUGAAUGCAUAGAGAAACAAAAGAAGAUAUGAAUAUGAGAUUAUAUGUCAUCCUGUUGAGUCAAGCAGAACUACAAUGAGGUGAGAUGUGGAUAGAGUAAUUCAACAAAUGUAGAGUUAUAUUUAAAGUACUGCAGUGUGUGUUGCUAUGUGUCACUAACAGAAUGUAGCAGUAUGUUUCAGUAAGUGAAGGUAUGUCAGUAGGCUAGGGUCAGUCAGUCACUUGUGUGGUGAUCCUGUUUCAUCACUGAAUGUGCAGCCUUUUGUAACAGCGCACACAAGACAUGAUCAGAGAGCUGACCAAUGUCAACACCAAAGAACUUGAUUGCACGGGUUGCACGGUAUCAACUCUGCAUUCAGCUGUUUCCCCCCCGACCGGGAGAGACGGACCACGCCCGCUGUGUCUCAGGUGUUGAGGACAGGACAGGGGCCGACGUAACCAUGGAGAUUUUGGAUACAUGGUCAACCUUCUGACCAGACCAGAGUGAUGGUCUACCCUCUGGUAACCAGACCACAGUGAUGUCUACCUUCUGGUAACCAGACCACAGUGAUGUCUACCCUCUGGUAAGCAGACCACAGUGAUGUCUACCUUCUGGUAACCAGACCAGAGUGAUGUCUACCCUCUGGUAACCAGACCACAGUGAUGCCUACCUUCUGGUAACCAGACCACAGUGAUGUCUACCUUCUGGUAACCAGACCACAGUGAUGUCUACCUUCUUGUGUGCCAGACUCGGGUCCUGGGUGAGCAGCAGGCGCUGUGCACAGAUGUUCCCCAAAGCAGAGCUUCUUAGCCAGUCUUUCUCCAAGGGGUCCAACUGCACCCUUGGAUACAGAGACUAGAACAGGGGGCACAGCUUUUAACUACUAUUUUACGAUACAAUCGGCUGCAGUUAAUCCCAUUGACAAAAUUUAGGUCAGGGUUGAAAAGGUGAAAGUGCAUUAAGGAAUUUUCAUUGUACACCAUUGCCAUCCUGUUUGGCCCACGUACUUUAAGAACAUAAAAACAAACUCCAUGGCACUAAGGCAGGGGUCCUGGUGCCAUUAAGGGUGUUUAUUGGCCAGCAAGGUGAUGCAAGCCACCAGUUAUGUCUUUAAUCAGCGACGUGCCAGGCUCUCUGUCUGUUUACCGGGCAGAGGCGUGUUAAUGACACAGCCCCAGGAGCUCUCUGGGGGAGAUUCACAUUCACAACUCAUACAAGCAGGAGGGGACAGAGUCUGAAUGUCUGCUUGUUGAUUUAUGAAGAGUUUGGAAAUGGAAUGGAGCCUUUGUUAUACCACAAGCAAAGAAUAGAUCAA
rnacentral:lncRNA from 1 species